AACGAACGCUGGCGGCAUGCCUAACACAUGCAAGUCGAACGAGACCUUCGGGUCUAGUGGCGCACGGGUGCGUAACGCGUGGGAACCUGCCCUUAGGUUCGGAAUAACUCCCCGAAAGGGGUGCUAAUACCGGAUAAUGUCUUCGGACCAAAGAUUUAUCGCCUUUGGAUGGGCCCGCGUUGGAUUAGCUAGUUGGUAGGGUAAAAGCCUACCAAGGCGACGAUCCAUAGCUGGUCUGAGAGGAUGAUCAGCCACACUGGGACUGAGACACGGCCCAGACCCAGCGGGGAGGCAGGAGGGGGGAUUAUGGGAAGAGGCGCGAAAGAUUGACAAACCAGUGCCGGGGGAGGGAUGAGGGCAGGAGGGUUGGAAUUUUCUUGUCCCAGGGAUGAAAAUGACAGCGGCGGAAAAAUCAGCCCCGGCUAACCCCGGG
rnacentral:rRNA from 1 species